rnacentral:rRNA from 1 species
GUUUGAUCCUGGCUCAGAACGAACGCUGGCGGCGUGCUUAAUACAUGCAAGUCGUGCGAGAAAUCCCGGGCUUGCUCGGGAGAGUAAAGCGGCGAACGGGUGCGUAACACGUGGGCAAUCUGCCCUCGGGUUGGGGAUAAGCCUUCGAAAGGAGGUCUAAUACCGAAUAAUAUCACAUCAGGGCAUCCUGGCGUGAUCAAAGAUGGCUUCGGCUAUCUCCUGAGGAUGAGCCCGCGGUACAUUAGCUUGUUGGUAGGGUAACGGCCUACCAAGGCCGCGAUGUAUAGCCGGCCUGAGAGUUGACCGGCCACACUGGGACUGAGAUACGGCCCAGACUCCUACGGGAGGCAGCAGUAGGGAAUAUUGCGCAAUGCCCGCAAGGGUGACGCAGCAACGCCGCGUGUGGGAUGAAGCUUCUUGGAGUGUAAACCACUGUCAGUAGGGAAGAACUGCUAUAGCUCUAACAUAGUUAUAGUUUGACGGUACCUGCAGAGGAAGCUCCGGCCAACUCCGUGCCAGCAGCCGCGGUAACACGGGGGGAGCAAGCGUUGUUCGGAAUUACUGGGCGUAAAGGGUACGCAGGCGGGAAGACAGGUCAGAUGUGAAAACCUACGGCUUAACCGUGGGCCUGCAUCUGAUACCAUCUUUCUUGAGUAUUGGAGAGGAAAGCGGAACUCCUGGUGUAGCGGUGAAAUGCGUAGAUAUCAGGAGGAACACCGGUGGCGAAGGCGGCUUUCUGGCCAAAUACUGACGCUCAUGUACGAAGGCCGGGGGAGCAAACAGGAUUAGAUACCCUGGUAGUCCCGGCAGUAAACGAUGGGUACUAGGUGUUGGGGGAGUCGACCCCCUCAGUGCCGUAGCUAACGCACUAAGUACCCCGCCUGGGGAGUACGGCCGCAAGGCUGAAACCCAAAGGAAUUGACGGGGCCCCGCACAAGCAGUGGAGCAUGUGGUUUAAUUCGACGCAACGCUAAGAACCUUACCUGGGUUUGAAAUGUUCAGGAAAUCCUCAGAGAUGAGGCCCCUCCGCAAGGAGUCUGUUCACAGGUGCUGCAUGGCUGUCGUCAGCUCGUGCCGUGAGGUGUUGGGUUAAGUCCCGCAACGAGCGCAACCCUUGCCCCUAGUUGCCAGCGAUUUGGUCGGGAACUCUAGGGGGACUGCCGGUGACAAGCCGGAGGAAGGUGGGGAUGACGUCAAGUCCUCAUGGCCCUUACGUCCAGGGCUACACACGUGCUACAAUGACCGGUACAGAGGGUCGCAAGACCGCGAGGUGGAGCUAAUCCCUAAAACCGGCCUAAGUUCGGAUUGGAGUCUGCAACUCGACUCCAUGAAGCUGGAAUUGCUAGUAAUCGCGAAUCAGCAGGUCGCGGUGAAUACGUUCCCGGGGCUUGUACACACCAU